GUGUCAGCCGCUGCGGUAAUACAGAGGUCUCAAGCGUUGUUCGGAUUCAUUGGGCGUAAAGGGUGCGUAGGCGGCGCGGUAAGUCGGGUGUGAAAUCUCAGGGCUCAACCCUGAAACUGCACUCGAUACUGCUCUGCUUGAGGACUGGAGAGGAGACUGGAAUUCACGGUGUAGCAGUGAAAUGCGUAGAUAUCGUAAGGAAGACCAGUGGCGAAGGCGGGUCUCUGGACAGUUCCUGACGCUGAGGCACGAAGGCCAGGGGAGCAAACGGGAUUAGAAACCCCAGUAGUCC
rnacentral:rRNA from 1 species